rnacentral:rRNA from 1 species
AUUGAACGCUGGCGGCAGGCCUAACACAUGCAAGUCGAACGAGUGGCGGACGGGUGAGUAAUGUCUGGGAAACUGCCUGAUGGAGGGGGAUCACUACUGGAAACGGUAGCUAAUACCGCAUACCAUCGGAUGUGCCCAGAUGGGAUUAGCUAGUAGGUGGGGUAACGGCUCACCUAGGCGACGAUCCCUAGCUGGUCUGAGAGGAUGACCGUCCACACAGGAACUGAGGCACGGUACAGACUCCGACGGGAGGCAGCAGUGGGGAAUAUUGCACAAUGGGAGCAAGCCUGAGGCAGCCAUGCCGCAUGUGUGAAGAAGGCCUUCGGGUUGUAAAGUACUUUCAGCGGGGAGACGUUACCCGCAGAAGAAGCACCGGCUAACUCCGUGCCAGCCGCCGCGGUAAUUC